UACGUAGGGUGCGAGCGUGUCCGGAAUUAUUGGGCGUAAAGAGCUUGUAGGCGGUUUGUCGCGUCUGCUGUGAAAAUCCGGGGCUCAACCCCGGACUUGCAGUGGGUACGGGCAGACUAGAGUGUGGUAGGGGAGACUGGAAUUCCUGGUGUAGCGGUGGAAUGCGCAGAUAUCAGGAGGAACACCGAUGGCGAAGGCAGGUCUCUGGGCAGUUACUGACGCUGAGGAGCGAAAGCAUGGGGAGCAAACAGG
rnacentral:rRNA from 1 species